GGGGGGGGGGGGGGGGGGGGGGGGGGGGGGGGGGGGGGGGGGGGGGGGGGGGGGGGGGGGGGGGGGGGGGGGGGGGGGGGGGGGGGGGGGGCGGCAGCGGAGCCCAGGCCGGGGAGCGCCCGCCGGGCCCGCGUCACGUGACGGGGGGAGGCAGGGGAUGAAUGGACCGGCGUGAGAAGGGGGCGGGGCCGAGGGGGCGCGUGAGGGCGGGCAGCGCUGUGAGGGGAGCGGGAACCGGGCCGGGAUGGGAACGGGAACGGGGACGGGGAUGGGAACGGGAGCGGGACCAGGAACGGGAACGGGGCCGAGGAUGGGAAUGGAACGGGAACGGGAACGGAGAUGGAGAUGGAGAUGGAGAUGGAGAUGGGGACAGGGAUGGGAACCGGGAUGGGAACAGGAACGGGGUCAGGGAUGGGAACGGGAAAUGGAACGGGGCCAGGGAUGGGGAUGGGGAUGGGGACGGGGACCGGGACCGGGACCAGAACGAGAACGGGAACGGGAACGAGGCCAGGGAUGGGGACGGGGACGAAGACGGGGAUGGGAACGGGAACGGAUAUGAGGGUGGGAUCGGGGCGGAGAUGGGGAUAGGAACGGGAACGAAGAUGGGGAUGGGAAGGGGAAGGGGAAGGGGAACGGAGAUGCGGACCGGAUCGACGGUAUCGGGAUCAGUACCGGGGAUGGGACUGGGACGAGGAUGUGGUCCGGGAUUAGGACCCGGGAUGGGGAUGGGCACGGGGAUCGGGACGGGGAGCGGCGCCGGGACGUGGCGGUGUGGAUCCCAUCCUGCCGGGGACGGGCAGCCCGGGAUGGGGGCCUCCAACCCAAACCAUUCUGUAUGUACACAAUGAAGCAGAGUACAAUCAGAAAAAAAAAUAAAAAAUUCUAGUGCCCAAGGCAGAGAGAAAGUUUUAUGUAUUCUUAAACACACUUGGUGAACUCUUGUACUGCACAGAAGCCAGCAGAUCUGGAUCUCCUGGCACUCUCCCAGCCAAAAUUUAUUACCUCAUUGUAACAAUGCAUUUUCUGUGUCCAGAGAAGAGGAGGAAGUAGGAAACAGAUAAAAGAUUUGUCAAGAUCAGUGCUGGUAUCUGCAUAUAAACAUUUGGUUUUGAAGGCUCAUGUUUUCAGGCAAACUAUUUUGUGUUAGCAGUGACUGACUCUGGGGUUAGGAAUCCAGAAACCCCUGUCUGAUGUCUCAGAUACAAAUCACAUUCAACAUAAAGGAAAGUUGC
rnacentral:lncRNA from 12 species